AUUGAACGCCGGCGGCAUGCCUUACACAUGCAAGUCGAACGGCAGCACGGGAGCAAUCCUGGUGGCGAGUGGCGAACGGGUGAGUAAAGUAUCGGAACGUGCCCAGUCGUGGGGGAUAACGUAGCGAAAGUUACGCUAAUACCGCAUACGAUCUAUGGAUGAAAGCGGGGGAUCGCAAGACCUCGCGCGAUUGGAGCGGCCGAUAUCAGAUUAGGUAGUUGGUGGGGUAAAGGCCCACCAAGCCGACGAUCUGUAGCUGGUCUGAGAGGACGACCAGCCACACUGGGACUGAGACACGGGCCAGACUCCUACGGGAGGCAGCAGUGGGGAAUUUUGGACAAUGGGCGAAAGCCUGAUCCAGCCAUGCCGCGUGCAGGAUGAAGGCCUUCGGGUUGUAAACUGCUUUUGUACGGAACGAAAAGGUUUGGCCUAAUAAGCUGAGCUCAUGACGGUACCGUAAGAAUAAGCACCGGCUAACUACGUGCCAGCCGCCGCGGUAA
rnacentral:rRNA from 1 species